rnacentral:rRNA from 1 species
UACGGAGGACCCAAGCGUUAUCCGGAUUUACUGGGCGUAAAGAGUUGCGUAGGUGGUUUGUUAAGCAAAGUAUGAAAUCGUGUGGCUCAACCAUGCGGCUAUAUUUUGAACUGGCAGACUUGAGAAUGAGAGAGGUUAUUGGAAUUCCCAGUGUAGGAGUGAAAUCCGUAGAUAUUGGGAGGAACACCGAUGGCGUAGGCAGAUAACUGGCUCAUUUCUGACACUAAGGCACGAAAGCGUGGGUAGCAAACGGG